GGCUGAUAAUAGAGGCCGUCCCACAAAGAUAUACUCCUUAAAUAUCUCAUUAUCGCGUAACGCGGUUAAGUUAUUCCCUAGAUAAUAUUGGUUUCCAUACGCAUUAGUAGAAUAUUAAACGGCUGUUAAUUAGAAAUUAUUCCUCGGAUAUAAAUGUGUGAUACAUUGAAAUUUUCAGACAAAUAAACUACAGAAUAGCCAUUCUUAAAAUUUUCCGAAAAUAAUAAAAUAAAAAGUUAAAGCCAAUUAUUAUUAUAGUUUAUACCUAAUUAAUACAUAAUCAGUAUAGAAUAUUUGCUAUU